AGCCCCUGACAAUGGGCAAAGAGACACCUUGUUGGUGGCGGUGUUCUUAUUAUUCAGGGACAGACCAGAUGACAGUUAUAUGUUCAUCCUAGAUUGAUGCCGGGCUUGGUGGACAAAACUGUUUCAUACCUAGGACUCAUAA